GACGAACGCUGGCGGCGUGCUUAACACAUGCAAGUCGAACGGAAAGGCCCUGCUUUUGUUGGGUGCUCGAGUGGCGAACGGGUGAGUAACACGUGAGUAACCUGCCCUUGACUUUGGGAUAACUUCAGGAAACUGGGGCUAAUACCGGAUAGGAGCUCCUGCUGCAUGGUGGGGGUUGGAAAGUUUCGGCGGUUGGGGCUGGUCUCGCGGCUUAUCAGCUUGUUGGUGGGGUAGUGGCUUACCAAGGCUUUGACGGGUAGCCGGCCUGAGAGGGUGACCGGCCACAUUGGGACUGAGAUAGGGCCCAGACUGCUACGGGAGGCAGCAGUGGGGAAUAUUGCACAGUGGGCGGAAGCCUGAUGCAGCAACGCCGCGUGCGGGAUGACGGCCUUCGGGUUGUAAACCGCUUUCGCCUGUGACGAAGCGUGAGUGACGGUAAUGGGUAAAGAAGCACCGGCUAACUACGUG
rnacentral:rRNA from 1 species